GUUUAAAACAAACUUUCAGAGUUAUAAUAACGAACACUCUUUAAGAAAAAAGUAUUUGAUCAAACUCGUGAGUGAGUACAACUUUCAUGUUACAGUCCCCAAAAAGGUAUAAAAAUCUAAAAUAAUCGUAACCACAAUAACUCGAUAGUAUAUUAUAAUACUAAAAUGACGUAAAACCUUUUACGCCAAAGGACACACCCCAUGCUAAUCUCAACAAAUACUUCCAUGGGACAACAUCUCCGGCAAACACGGACAUACUCUAGAAAUAAAUAAAAAAAUAGAGCGAAAACUGAAACUCACAGUAAAACCAAAAAUAAUAACUUCAAUAUUGAAUAAAUGGAACUGCAAACCAUUAGGUACGGCAAAUCAGCAUCUUCAAAAGAGGAGAAAUUAAAUGCACCGCAUGGUCUUCAUGAGAACUGUGAAUUGUCAUAUAUCAUGAAAACAUGCCUUACAUCCACUCUAGUAGAAACAAUCGGAACUGCAGACAGGGAAAAAUACCAAUAGAGUAAAUAAAAUACAAAAAUACACGAAUUCAGCGAAAUAUUAACAGACAGAAAGAGAAGAAUAUCUUCUAUAAGACAGAUGAUUUACCUCAUGAGUAGCAUCAUAAUAUGCUUAAUAAAACCCCAAGGGAGAAAAUUUAUCUGCUACAACUUUGAGUGCAGUAUAUCAGGAGAAGAAUGACCAGGCUACCAUACUGUGUUAAUGAUGCACACGACAGAUUCAGACAAGCAACAGCAACAAGUUUAGGAGUUAAAAGUUGAGUGUUUCCAAAUGUAACAGGAACAACCCAACAGUGUGACCAAAAUGAUUUAACUUCCAACAGCAGCAAACGCAUCUUCAGAUCUUCAACUUCAACAGCAGCAACAGCACAAACAAAACUAGAACGCACCAGGUAAAACAUCCAUGCAUCAACUGAGCAACACUCCCCACCACAAGGUGGGACCCCAGACAGCAUGAAUCAGAAACAAAGAUAUUCCCAAGUUCUAAGUUGCAAAUUUUCCAUCAUCCAAUCAGAUACAAGAUCUACCCAGUACACGGAAUUAAUUCAACAGUCAAAAUCCCAAACCUGCCUAAAAUACACUUCCCAGAAGGCUACACAAAAGGGGAGCCAUAAUCGGCAUCUCCAUAGAUUGAAACAUUUACAUCACGAUUUAAAAGAAACAAAGUGGCUCUCCACAACUACUCCUACUAUAGAAUUAACUUAAAAGGAAUUAACUCAUCCACAACGAAGUAAUUUCCAAGUGAAAGAGCCGUGAGAACAAAUGAAAAAGAACAGCCAUCAACAAGAAGAGACAUAGUUGAAGCCUUGGUUAUGCCAUGACAAUGGUUCUUACGCAGAACUUAUUUUUAGAUGGCUUUUUACAUGACAUAUUUUAGAUGCGAAUCUUGUUCACCUGAAAAAAACCUACUAAUAUUCAAAUAAUAGUUCAAGUUUGACAGCUAGACGGCUAAAUAAUUACUAGCACGAGGCUUAAGCUAACGCAACUUAAAGUUGAUGCGUCACAGAAUAAUUGGUCUAACGAUUGGUCUUUUAGUUGUUAAUACUUACUUAAAAGGUGUCAAUAUUUUCGUUUUUGAAAUACAUUCGUUCUUGAAAAAUAUGUACAUGAACCCUAAGUUAUCAAAAAUCAUGGUUAUAUUGGAUAUAAACAUAGAGUUGAGAGGGGAGACCAGCCAAAAUAUUUUAUGACAUAGUUUAAAGCUGCUUCAAUAAUCAGCUGUAUGUGACUACAUAUAAAAGACUAAGCUUUGUGCGGCUUGUUGAAUGAUUCUACAACUAUUGAUUAGAGAUAUUACCAUUACUGUGUAGGUGAUUAUAGAGGAAAAGUAAUUAAUAUAUGGAUGCUGAUAAUGUAAAAUUGAUUAUGUACCUCUGAGGAGUGCAGCAGUAGAAACGUUGCUUUGUCCAUCGCCAUAUUAAGCAAUUCAACACGAAUAACUUGUCCAUAAAAAACAAGUAACCACUGGAUCGGUGCGAGAUUGUUGGACGCAGGAGCAGGGAAAGAACAUGAAAAAAUAAAAGAGGCGACACACACAGAGAGGAGAUCCAGGCAAAACCCUGUGCCUCUCCUCUCCAACACCAAAAAAUAUAGUUUUAUUAGGUACUUUUGGCCUGCCAUGCGAGCGCACCCAACAUGGCAAAGGCCUGGCAACAUAAAACAGUAAACACCUCACUUUUUUCCUCUCAAACCUCGCACAACCUCAACUCAUUCUUUUAUCUCUCGUACAUGUGCAUGCAUCGAUAAAAACUUAAGCAAAUAAAACAUUUAAAUAAUUAUAAACAUCAAAAUUAAACCAUCAUAACCUUGGAUUCACCAUAACGUUCUAUGAUUCAACCUUCGCCGAUGAUAACCGGUCAAAAGAGCUUGAUCUAUGACAACAACGAACAAAACCGAUAGUCCUUGCAUCUAUCUUCAAACCAAUAAAUCUCUUGCGCACAACGGUUGAACCCUCGCGAUGAUAACAUCAAGGUUGCUGAAACUUCUUCUCCAAUCUCCACAAAUCUAUUAAGACCGAACAGAUCUGAUGCUCGACUAUGCUCAUCUAUCCCAAACGAACACACAAACACAUCAGAUCCACCAUCUCUUCGUCAACCGUCGGCCAGAACAAACAAAUAUCGAACCAUCCAUCCAUACGGCCCGUCAGUCGCCGGUCCGGUACAAAACCACGGCGGUCCGGUACAGAAACGCGGCAAAUCCAUAUCCAAAACGUAGAUCAAGCAACGAUCUACACAGAUCUGAUCAUAAAAUUUGGAGAAGAUAAACUACUUAGAAGAGAUCUGGAGAAAAGAAGAAGAUAGGCGUAGAGGGAAAAGGUA
rnacentral:misc_RNA from 1 species